rnacentral:lncRNA from 1 species
UGAAUGGGGGUCAGCAGCUGCUCUCUUCCUCCUCCCCCCAAAACUCAAAUAAAACUCAGAGAUUUCAACCAGUCUAAUAAGACUAUGGAGAUAAGAUCUACUUUUCCUUUUUUUUUUUUUCGCUUGAAUUUUAAAACAAUUUCUUAUGAUAAAAUGAAAUCUAUCAGAACUCCAUGAGGAGCUCACAUGGCUGGCUGCACUUCAGGACUCAGGAGAAUCUCUCAGCCCAAACCCCUCAUUUCACAGAGGAAGCAGCCCAGGCCCAGAACGGUGAGGUGAGAGAGCAGAGCAACAGGGCUGGUAACUGGAAGAGCUGGGCCCUUCUCCCAUCAGCUCCCGUCACAUCCGGUCCAGCCUGUGUCACUUCUGGUCCAGCCUGUGCUGCUUCCAGGACUACAGACGAGUUCUCCCAGGUGAAAGUCCAUCCAUGCAAACAUUCGCCUUUGACUGAGACAUGCCAUGUCCGGAAGCCAUCUGUUCAGGGGUUUGUCUCCUGAGAUGCUGACACCAAGGUGGCGUUAAAUGAGGGAAGAUUUUGUGAGGGAAUCUGCCCAUGAGGAAACAUCGGGAAAGGGAAGAGGACGCAGGGAAAGCCAUGAAGCUGCCAAGUGAGUCAGCCCCCAGGUGAAGAGGAGAGGGAGAUGGACAGAUGCCAGGAGGACACUGGCUCUGAAGGUACGCAUAUCUCUGGCAACCCCCUCCCCGCUCCUGUCCUGCAGAGGGGUUCGUGUUUCCC